UACGUAGGGUGCGAGCGUUGUCCGGAAUUAUUGGCGUAAAGGGCUCGUAGGCGGUUUGUCGCGUCGGGAGUGAAAACUCAGGGCUUAACCCUGAGCCUGCUUCCGAUACGGGCAGACUAGAGGUAUGCAGGGGAGAACGGAAUUCCUGGUGUAGCGGUGAAAUGCGCAGAUAUCAGGAGGAACACCGGUGGCGAAGGCGGUUCUCUGGGCAUUACCUGACGCUGAGGAGCGAAAGUGUGGGGAGCGAACAGG
rnacentral:rRNA from 1 species